AAACCAUGGUGUGGGCAUUGAGCUUGGUAGCCCUUGAAUCUCUCCCAGGCUUCACUGAAGCCUUCCAAGUUCUUCUGUUGAAAGCUGGAAAUCUCAUUUCUUAGCUU
rfam:Brassica oleracea var. oleracea cultivar TO1000 chromosome C7, whole genome shotgun sequence